UAUAUCGCUAGUAUCACUAUACAGACAGGUAAAUACUGACUUUCAUUCGAAGGCAGUAUUACUCCUAUGGGGGUAGUGGUUAUUGUCCGGCGUCAAACGGGCAUAAAAAAAGCGCCCGGAGGCGCUUUUUUAGCAGA
rnacentral:sRNA from 19 species